rnacentral:lncRNA from 1 species
GCCAUUACUGAAUACAACUGCCUCCAAGACUCAACAACCAAAAAUACUAAGAAGGGGGAGAGCGAAGAACCACCACAGAGGAAAUGAGGCAGUAUCAUGCAUCUAGCAGCAACCACGAACAAGAUUUUGUCUAAAACUUCUGCAUGAUGGGUAAAAAGAUUCCUAAAAACCUGAUUGUCAAGAAGGUGACAUAGACCUCUGGAAGUUGUAAUCUGAAAAGAUUCUUAUCAUUUUAUGAAAAUAAGUGGUACCAAAGGUGUUUGAGGAAGAAGUGAGGUGUAAGUCAAUUCAUUCCAUGUUUUCCCCUCAAUGAAGGGAACAGAUAAAUCAAUUGUGUGAAAAAUACUUGAAAAUAUAAACUCCAUAUACUACCUUCUCUCCAUAUUUGAUUCAGGAAGCAUAUAAGACACAACAAACAUUACUUCAAGAUGCACCAAAUACAGUUAACACAAUCUCCAAACUAUUCAAAUAUACAAUAUGGUUUUAUUAACAAGAUACUAAACCACUAGACCACUGCAAAAGAGCAUGUAUAAUAUGAUCUUAUUAAAAAAGUACAAAAGAGCUACCUCUCAUUGUGAAGAGCAAAGAGAACGAAUCAAAUAAAUUGACUUCGGAAAGCAGCCAACCAAGAUGGCUACAUUGUCAACUUAUAAAUACAGAGAACAAGGUUCACAAUGUUUUACACAGACAAAUAGAACAAUAUAUAAUAUGAACUCCCACAGAGCUUUAUUCUACAAAUAAAACUCGCAUGCCAACCACUAAUUGAAUGCAUUGGAAUCUAUCUGUUAAAGAACAUGGAGAAAAAAUCCAACAAUAAUCCAAAAGGCUAUUUUUUAGCAUGACGCCUGGAAGGGAGACAUUUAUUUUCCAAUCAAAUAGUCACUGGUUGUGCUAUGCUGCAGAAACUUACAAGAACAAUCGAAACAGGAAAAAAACUGAAAGAAACAAGAAUAUUAACCUCCUCUUGAUCAAACAAAAACUCCUCUUCAUCAAGUCCAGCUGCAGGUAAAUCCUCAUCCUCAUCAUCUAGCCCCCUCAAUUCAACUUCCUCGAGAACAUCGUUUCCAAAAAAUGCAUAUUGUGAUGCAUCAAAUACUGCACCUCCUGCAUAAUAGAAAGGUUAACUUUACUGAAAUAAGCUCUUCAUAAAGAAGAAAACAACACAGAAUCAUUAAAAAAAAGAACUUUCUCCAAUUCAAUGGGCAGGAAUGGGGUAAUUGAGAUGGGCGCAAGUUAACACCCUUUGUGUAUCCAAGGGCCUGAUAUUUCUCAAAAUGUACAAAAAGCAGCUUCUCCAAUUCAAUCAUAAUUCAAAUAAAUCGUGCUUAUUUCCAUCACUAAAAAUAUUCGAAACCAAAGUCAAUUCAACUGAAAGUCUGAAACACCAGCCCACUGAAAUCAUUAACUGGCGUGAUUUAGUAGCCAAAUUCAAACUUAUAAUUACUAAUCUGGAAAAUGUCUAGGCCAACAUGAAACAAAGUCGCUACUUAAAAACCAGAAAUUGUUCACAUAUGGAAACGACAUUUGACUUCUAACUGAAUCAAACAGUGUUACCACAAUUAUUUAGCAAGAAAAGCCUGCCCUUAGCAUUGAAAACACAAUAUUUAAGGAUCUAAUUUCAUUUCCUUCUAACUUGAAAAAGAGUGUUAUAUUGAGUUUACUAGUGGUUUGAACUCUAAUAUUAACUCGAGCCUCUGAAGGAUGAGGAAUACUGUAGCCACAGAAUGUAACCCUUGGGCUGCACAACAUAAAAAGGAUAGCUUCCACUUUCAAUACAAUCAUUUAAAACAAAGAAAACCCAGCAUGAAUCAAAGCCAAAAACAGAUGUGAGUGAACUGACUCUUGAUUCAAAGUGAAUCUAACAGCGUUAGCUAUGGUAUGAUCCUCAUCAGUUAAAGAAAAAGUGGCAGCACUAUUAUCAGUGAAAAACCCGUGUUCCAUUGUUUCCUUUAAUCCAAUUUCUAAAUCUCCAAACCAAGAAACAAAACUAUUAAAAGGAUGAAAUUUAAUCCAAUAAUCAUUGGGAAAACAUAUUUUUAAAUAAAAAUAAGGUUGUAUCUUCCUUACCGGUUCCAAUGGACAGAACACAGUUUCACCGAUGGAGAGGAACGGAAAACGUGAGAAGGGGGCUGCUUUCUGAUCGGUGUUCGAAGUCCAGUUGUGACGCCAAAGAGAGGUAAGAUAGAAAGGUAGAAGCGUGAAUCGGUGGAGAUAGAAAGGUAAGACAAAAAGGUGAGGAGAGUGGAGAAGAAAGGUAGAAGGAAGAAACAGGGGUAAGACAGAAGCGUGAAUCAGGGGGUAAAACAGGGACCAAAACACAAUCCGGACCUAAACUGAGCACAACGGAGGGAUUGGAAAUCGGUGGAAUUUGGGGAUUAGAUCAGUAAUGUAAUAGACCCGUAUUAGGCUAAUACACCCAACCAAACAAUGUAUUGAGUAGGGCCCACGAUUAGGGGUGUAAUGGCUAUGCCAAUACACCCAACCAAACAAGCUCUUACUAUUUUUUAUCCGGUAAACAUUUUAUCUAGAAUAAGAAUGAAUGGGUAAUAAAAAUAAUAAAAUAUUUUAGCAUUAACAAAGGUCCAAAGAAAGAAAGAUUAUGAUAGUGCUUUAGCAAACAGUGGGAAGAAAAACUAGAGGAUCGUCGUCGAAAGGGAAAGAAGAAAGAAAAGUGGUAGUGGAAGUCCCAAAGGCUUUACCAUAUGUUGCAAAAAAUAGGCAAAGUGCAUUGACACC